GAUGAUCACUCGUUGUUGGCUACUUAGUAGUCAGUGACUAAGGGAAACCGAUAAGUGAUCCACCUGGGGAGUACGUCGGCAACGAUGAUACUCAAAGGAAUUGACGGGGGCCCGCACAAGCGGAGGAACAUGUGGUUUAAUUCGAUGAUACGCGAGGAACCUUACCUGGGCUUACAUGCUGGCUGCAUUCACGCGAAAGCGUGAUUUCCUACGGGACCGCCAGCAAGGUGCUGCAUGGUUGUCGUCAGCUCGUGCCGUGAGGUGUCGGGUUAAGUCCCAUAACGAGCGCAACCCCUAUCGUUAGUUGCCAGCAUGUAAUGGUGGGGACUCUAACGAGACUGCCGGUGUAAACCGGAGGAAGCCCGGGAUGACGUCAAAUCAGCACGGCCCUUACGUCCAGGGCUACACACGUGUUACAAUGGCCGGUACAAAGAGCAGCCACCUGGCGACAGGGUGCUAAUCUCUAAAACCGGUCUCAGUUCGGAUCGAAGUCUGCAAUUCGACUUCGUGAAGAUGGAUUCGCUAGUAAUCGCGCAUCAGCCAUGGCGCGCUGUCAAGUUCCCGGGCAUUGUACACACCGCCCGUCAAGCCAUGGAAGCCGGGGG
rnacentral:rRNA from 1 species